rnacentral:rRNA from 1 species
AAUUUUUCGCAAUGGGGGCAACCCUGACGAAGCAAUGCCGCGUGAAUGAAGAAGGCCUUCGGGUUGUAAAGUUCUUUCGUGGGAGACGAAAAGGUGAUCGCUAAUAUCGGUUACUGUUGACGUGAACCCAAGAAGAAGCACCGGCUAACUCCGUGCCAGCAGCCGCGGUAAUACGGAGGGUGCGAGCGUUAAUCGGAAUUACUGGGCGUAAAGGGCGCGUAGGCGGUUGGUUACGUCUGCCGUGAAAUCCCCGGGCUCAACCUGGGAAUGGCGGUGGAAACGGGCUGACUAGAGUAUGGGAGAGGGUGAUGGAAUUCCAGGUGUAGCGGUGAAAUGCGUAGAGAUCUGGAGGAACAUCAGUGGCGAAGGCGGUCACCUGGCCCAAUACUGACGCUGAGGCGCGAAAGCGUGGGGAGCAAACAGGAUUAGAUACCCUGGUAGUCCACGCCCUAAACGAUGGAUACUAGAUGUUUGGUGCCUUAGGUGCUGAGUGUCGUAGCUAACGCGAUAAGUAUCCCGCCUGGGAAGUACGGCCGCAAGGUUAAAACUCAAAUGAAUUGACGGGGG